rnacentral:rRNA from 1 species
CAGUAGCCACGGUAAUACGUAGGGGGCAAGCGUUAUCCGGAAUAACUGGGCGUAAAGGGUGCGCAGGUGGUUUAACAAGUUAGUGGUGAAAGGCAUAGGCUCAACCAAUGUAAGCCAUUAAAACUGUUUAACUUGAGUGCAGGAGAGGAAAGUGGAAUUCCUAGUGUAGCGGUGAAAUGCGUAGAUAUUAGGAGGAAUACCAGUGGUGAAGGCGACUUUCUGGACUGCAACUGACACUGAGGCACGAAAGCGUGGGGAGCAAACAGGAUUAGAGACCCCAGUAGUCCCUGUCUCUUAUACC